GAUGAACGCUGGCGGCGUGCUUAACACAUGCAAGUCGAACGAAGCAUUUAGGACAGAUUACUUCGGUUUGAAGUUCUUUAUGACUGAGUGGCGGACGGGUGAGUAACGCGUGGGUAACCUGCCUUGUACUGGGGGAUAGCAGCUGGAAACGGCUGGUAAUACCGCAUAAGCGCACAAUGUUGCAUGACAUGGUGUGAAAAACUCCGGUGGUAUAAGAUGGACCCGCGUCUGAUUAGCUAGUUGGUGAGAUAACAGCCCACCAAGGCGACGAUCAGUAGCCGACAUGAGAGGGUGACCGGCCACAUUGGGACUGAGACACGGCCCAGACUCCUACGGGAGGCAGCAGUGGGGAAUAUUGCACAAUGGAGGAAACUCUGAUGAAGCGACGCCGCGUGAGUGAAGAAGUAAUUCGUUAUGUAAAGCUCUAUCAGCAGGGAAGAUAGUGACGGUACCUGACUAAGAAGCUCCGGCUAAAUACGUG
rnacentral:rRNA from 1 species